AGUGGCGGACGGGUGAGUAACGCGUGGGUAACCUGCCUCAUACAGGGGGAUAACAGUUAGAAAUGACUGCUAAAACCGCAUAAGCGCACAAAACCGCAUGGUUUGGUGUGAAAAACUCCGGUGGUAUGAGAUGGACCCGCGUCUGAUUAGCUAGUUGGAGAGGUAACGGCUCACCAAGGCGACGAUCAGUAGCCGACCUGAGAGGGUGACCGGCCACAUUGGGACUGAGACACGGCCCAAACUCCUACGGGAGGCAGCAG
rnacentral:rRNA from 1 species